GUAACCGCCAAUUGCAAUAUUUGAAAAAAGAACCCGAUCAACCACUGUUUUGCUGUUCAGAAGUCCGUCUAUAAUUCAUCAUAAACUAAAGGAACACAGGUCAGAUUCGGACAACGACUUCAAAUUCAUUCGCAGAAUACGCUAAACAAUUGGACGACGGAUACACUGGAUGAUAAUGUAGAUGGUCCAGGAUUAUCUGGGAAGGAAACUACAGGUGUUGAACACAGAAAACCGUUUACAAGAAAACAACUGGAGUUUGUGAAAGCUGCAAGAAAUUAAUCUUGCCGGGUACGCAUUCACUUCACCUUGGUCGAGUGCAGCACAGUGGAUAAAUGUGUUGCUGAAGGAAAACACCAUUGCUAGGAUUCAAACCCACGACACUCUGUUGAAAGGUGAGAGUCAGAACCACUAGACCACGACGCAUACACAGUUAACAAGCUGAUGUCAUACUCCCACUUGUUCUUUUGUAUCUUAUAACAAGAAGUCAUGUUUAUUCACAUUUUGACCUCCAAGAACUAAAAAGUGGAGUGAAGAUUUAUUUAAUGUAAACACAUGCAUUGCUUGAAAUUAUUUUAUGCUACGUGGGACAUAUCAUACACACGUGUACGAAAAUAUGAAAUUAUUAUGAUUUCAUUUUAUAACAUAAGCCUAACACAUAUUCCUGACGAUCAUGUGCACAUUCCAGUAAUUUUUCCCAAAAUGUUGCUAAACCUUCAAAUCAAAGACUUUGUUAUCAGAUUUUAACGAAAUUGUCAACAUUAUGCUUUUCUGAUUAAUUCUCUUCCUACCUAAAUCUCCCCUUUCCUCAUGCUUUCUUUCUAUGGACCCUUCAUUCUCCUUAUAACUAUGUUAUAUGUAAAAUGUAACCGGUCGUCCAACCCAUUUGAUUGAAGGGCUAGGUACUCUAGACUGAAAGUUAUGUGAUUUAAAUUCAAAGAGUACAUCAGACAAAAAAAACACUGAAAAUUUCAUCAAAAUUGAAUGAGGAUUAACGAAAUUAUGACGAAUUAAAAUUGUUAUUUUUUGGUAAAACUGUUCUCUGCAAGUCCUCAUGAAUAUACAAGAUCCCAAUUUAUAUAUUUUUUUGUAUUAUAUGAAUUCAAAUUUUGUCCAAGCUAGGUUGUAAAAAAUUACGAUUGACUACUGAUAUACUGUGUAAGACAAAAAUUAUAUUAUUUCUCACACAUAGUUGAGUUAUUCAUCUGAUUCAACACAACAAAAAUAGACAAAAAAUAAAUAAGUGGGAAUCUUGUAUAUUUGAACUAUGGGAAAUAGUUAAAAAAUAGAUGUGCUACUAAGAAUUAUUUUCUAUAUGAUUUGCAAAAUAUUAAAAAAAGAUGUCGCUAUUUUCUUGUUUUUU